rnacentral:rRNA from 1 species
GAUGAACGCUGGCGGCGUGCCUAAUACAUGCAAGUCGAGCGAACAGACGAGGAGCUUGCUCCUCUGACGUUAGCGGCGGACGGGUGAGUAACACGUGGAUAACCUACCUAUAAGACUGGGAUAACUUCGGGAAACCGGAGCUAAUACCGGAUAAUAUAUUGAACCGCAUGGUUCAAUAGUGAAAGACGGUUUUGCUGUCACUUAUAGAUGGAUCCGCGCCGCAUUAGCUAGUUGGUAAGGUAACGGCUUACCAAGGCAACGAUGCGUAGCCGACCUGAGAGGGUGAUCUGCCACCCUGGAACUGAGACACGGUCCAGACUCCUACGGGAUGCAGCAGGAGGGAAUCUUCCGCAAUGGGCGAAAGCCUGACGGAGCAACGCCGCGUGAGUGAUGAAAGUCUUCGGAUCGUAAAACUCUGUUAUUAGGGAAGAACAAAUGUGUAAGUAACUAUGCACGUCUUGACGGUACCUAAUCAGAAAGCCACGGCUAACUACGUG